UAUGAGAAGAAAGGAGAGAAAGGAGUGGAGAUUAAAUAUACAAAGAGACUUGAGAACAUCUUAAAGGCGGCCAAAGUGUGAGAGAAUAAAGAACCUAUUCAUUGCGAAGUACUUUGCACAGUUUCUGUCAUGGAUUAAGGGCCCUGAACACACUGGCUCCUACGCACCAGGUUGGAAAUUUGCCUCCUGUGAGAGUCAGUGCUGCCUCUGAGCAGCUUCAGAAGCAAAGUAACCACAAUAAUUCUCAAGUUUAGAAAUUUAUCUCAAUGACACCAGACUGGCUGAGUCCAUCUGGGUGUACCGCCAUCUUGAUUCAGGAUUGUUUCUAGGGAGAAAUCCUGACUGAAAUUCAGUGGGAACACGUAUGCAAUCCUGAAAUGAAUGUACAAAAUGCUGGGACCUUCUAUUCGAAUGAGUCGGGGACACAGCCAACCCAGCCCGGCCAUAUUGGAGCCCAAAGUGAAAGGUAGUGUGUGGCUUGUAUCCGGGCUUUUAUCAGAA